GACGAACGCUGGCGGCGUGCUUAACACAUGCAAGUCGAACGGUGAACCCCGCUUGCGGGGGGAUCAGUGGCGAACGGGUGAGUAACACGUGGGCAACCUGCCCCCGGCUCUGGGAUAACUCCAAGAAAUUGGGGCUAAUACCGGAUAUUCAUCGCUGUCCGCAUGGGCGGUGGUGGAAAGAUUUAUCGGCUGGGGAUGGGCCCGCGGCCUAUCAGCUUGUUGGUGGGGUAGUGGCCUACCAAGGCGACGACGGGUAGCCGGCCUGAGAGGGUGACCGGCCACACUGGGACUGAGACACGGCCCAGACUCCUACGGGAGGCAGCAGUGGGGAAUAUUGCGCAAUGGGCGAAAGCCUGACGCAGCGACGCCGCGUGGGGGAUGACGGCCUUCGGGUUGUAAACCUCUUUCAGCUCCGACGAAGCGCAAGUGACGGUAGGAGCAGAAGAAGCACCGGCCAACUACGUGCCAGCCGCCGCCGUAAUAC
rnacentral:rRNA from 1 species